ensembl:lncRNA
CGGUUUUUAUUCCCACCUGGAAUUUUUGGGGGGAAAAUCGGGAAUUUUGGGGGGAAAAAUGGGAAUUUUGGGGGAAAAAUUGGGAAUUUUGGGGGAAAAAUGGGAAUUUGGGGGGAAAAUUUGGGAGUUUUGGGGGGAAAAUGGGAAUUUUGGGGGAAAAAUGGGAAUUUUGGGGGGAAAAAUGGGAAUUUUGGAGGAAAAAAUGGGAAUUUUGGGGGGAAAAAUGGGAAUUUUGGGAGGGAAAAAUGGGAAUUUUGGGGGGGAAAAAUGGGAAUUUUGUGAGGGGGUAAAAGGGGAAUUUUGGGAGGGAAAAAUGGGAAUUCCAGGAGAGAAAAAUGAGGAAUUUUGUGAGGGGUAAAAUGGGAAUUUUGUGAGGGGUAAAAGAGGAAUUUUGGGGGGGGAAAAAUGGGAAUUUGGGGGGGAAAAUUCGGAAUUUUGGGGGGAAAAUUGGGAAUUUUGGGAGGGAAAAACCGGGAAUUUUGGGAGGGAAAAAUGGGAAUUUUAUGGGGGAAAAAUGAGAAUUUCAGGAGGAGAAAAAAUGGGAAUUUUGGGAGGGAAAAAAUGGGAAUUUCAGGCGAAAAAAACGAGAAUUUCACAAGAAAAAAAAACCCCCUCGUCGAUUCCGGACCUAUUUGAGAUCUGCAAACAAUGAGAAUUCCCAGGAUUCGAGAAGAAUUCCCGGGAUUUUGGGCCGAAUUCCCUAAAAAUUGGGUUUGUGUUUCUUCAGCUCCACCAUCAGGUGGUGGAUGUUGAUGAGGUCGGCUCGGGCCGGCAGCGCCCGCAGCGGGGGCUGCUCCAGAAUCUUCUGGAAGCGGUGAUAGACCUGGAUCAGCUGCGUCAGCGCCGCCUGGAAAUGCAGGGAAAGAGAAUUCCCAACUUUUCCCAACUUUUCCCAGUUUUUUCCCAUUUUUUUCCUAUUUUUUUUCACAUUUUUUCCCAUUUUUUUCCCAUUUUUUUCCCAUUUUUUUCCCAUUUUUUUCCUAUUUUUUCCUAUUUUUUUUUCCCAUUUUUCUCAUUUUUUUCCCCAUUUCUUCCCUUUUUUCCCAAUUUUUUCCCUUUUCCAAUUUUUUCCUAUUUUUUCCAUUUUUUUCCCAUUUUUAUCCCAAAUUUUUCCCCAUUUUUUCCCCUUUUCUCCCAUUUUUCCCCCAUUUGUUCCCAUUUUUUCCUAUUUUUUUCCUAUUUUUAUCCCAUUUUUUCCUUCUUUUCCCCAUUUUUCCCCCAUUUUUUCCCAUUUUUCCCCAUUUUUUCCCGUUUUUCCCCGUUUCCCCCUGGAUCAGCUGCGUCAGCGCCGCCUGGAAACGCAGGAAAGAGAAUUCCCAACUUUUCCCAACUUUUCCCAGUUUUUUCCCAUUUUUUUCCUAUUUUUUUUCACAUUUUUUCCCAUUUUUUCCCUUUUUUCCCAUUUUUUUCCCAUUUUUGUCCCAUUUUUUCCCAUUUUUUUCCCCAUUUUUCCCAUUUUUAUCCCAAUUUCUCCCCAUUUUUCCCAUUUCCUCCCUUUUCCAAUUUUUCCCCAUUUUUCCACAUUUUUCCCAUUUUUCCCAAUUUUUCCCAUAUUUCCCCUUUUUCCCUCAAUUUUUUCCCCAAUUUUUCCCAUUUUUUCCCAUUUUUCUCCCAUUUUUCCCCAUUUUCCCCCAUUUUUUCCCAUUUUCCCCCCAUUUUUUCCCAUUUUUUCCCAUUUUUCCCCGUUUCCCCCUGGAUCAGCUGCGUCAGCGCCGCCUGGAAACGCGGGAAAGAGAAUUCCCAACUUUCCCAAAUUUUCCCAAUUUUUCCCAUUUUUUUCCCAUUUUUUUCCCCAUUUUUUUCCUAUUUUUUUCCUAUUUUUUUCCUAUUUUUUCCUAUUUUUUUUCACAUUUUUUCCCUUUUUUUUCCCCAUUUUUGUCCCAUUUUUGCCCCAUUUUUGCCCCAUUUUUCCCUUUUUUCCCAUUUUUUUCCUUUUCNNNNNNNNNNNNNNNNNNNNGUCAGCGCCGCCUGGAAACGCGCCAAAGAGAAUUCCCAACUUUUCCCAACUUUUCCCAGUUUUUUCCCAUUUUUUUCCUAUUUUUUCCCAUUUUUUUCCCAUUUUUUCCCCAUUUUUUUCCUAUUUUUUUCCUAUUUUUUCCUAUUUUUUUUCACAUUUUUUCCCAUUUUUUCCCCAAUUUUUUCCGAUUUUUUUUCACAUUUUUUCCUAUUUUUUCCCAUUUUUUUCCCAUUUUUUUCCUAUUUUUUUCCCAUUUUUAUCCCAAAUUUUUCCCCAUUUUUUCCCCUUUUCUCCCAUUUUCCCCCCAUUUUUCCCCCAUUUUUUCCCCUUUUUCCAUAUUUUUUCCACGUUUUUCCAAUUUUUUCCUUCUUUUCCCCAUUUUCCCCNNNNNNNNNNNNNNNNNNNNAUUCCCAGGAUUCGAGAAGAAUUCCCGGGAUUUUGGGUAGAAUUCCCUAAAAAUUGGGUUUGUGUUUCUUCAGCUCCACCAUCAGGUGGUGGAUGUUGAUGAGGUCGGCUCGGGCCGGCAGCGCCCGCAGCGGGGGCUGCUCCAGAAUCUUCUGGAAGCGGUGAUAGACCUGGAUCAGCUGCGUCAGCGCCGCCUGGAAAUGCAGGGAAAGAGAAUUCCCAACUUUUCCCAACUUUUCCCAGUUUUUUCCCAUUUUUUUCCUAUUUUUUUUCACAUUUUUUCCUAUUUUUUCCCUUUUUUCCCAUUUUUUUCCUAUUUUUGUCCCAUUUUUGUCCCAUUUUUUUCCCCAUUUUUUCCCAUUUUUAUCCCAAAUUUUUCCCCAUUUUUCCCAUUUCCUCCCAUUUUUCCCCCAUUUUUCCCCAUUUUUCCACAUUUUUCCACAUUUUUCCCCUUUUUUCCCAUAUUUCCCCUUUUUCCCUCAAUUUUUUCCCCAAUUUUUCCCAUUUUUUCCCAUUUUUCUCCCAUUUUUCCCCAUUUUCCCCCAAUUUUUCCCAUUUUUCCCAUUUUUCCCCAUUUUUUCCCCUUUUUCCCCGUUUCCCCCUGGAUCAGCUGCGUCAGCGCCGCCUGGAAACGCGCCAAAGAGAAUUCCCAACUUUUCCCAACUUUUCCCUGUUUUUUUCCUAUUUUUUCCCAUUUUUUUCCCAUUUUUUCCCCAUUUUUUUCCUAUUUUUUUCCUAUUUUUUCCUAUUUUUUUUCACAUUUUUUCCCUUUUUUUUCCCCAUUUUUGUCCCAUUUUUACCCCAUUUUUGUCCCAUUUUUCCCUUUUUUCCCAUUUUUUUCCUUUUCCAAUUUUUUCCUAUUUUUUCCCAUUUUUAUCCCACAUUUUUCCCCAUUUUUUCCUUUUUUCUCCCAUUUUUCCCCCAUUUUUAUCCCAAAUUUUUCCCCAUUUUUUCCCCUUUUCUCCCAUUUUUCCCCCAUUUUUCCCCAUUUUUCCUGUUUUUCCCACGUUUUCCCCCUUUUUUCCCAUUUUUCCCCUUUUUUCCCCAUUUUCCCCCAUUUUUUCCCAUUUUUUCCCCAAUUUGCCCCCCUUUUUUCCUGUUUUUUCCUCUUUUUUCCCAUUUUUUCCCAUUUUUCCCCAUUUUCCCCCAAUUUUUUCCCCAAUUUUUCCCAUUUUUCCCAUUUUUCCCCAUUUUUUCCCCUUUUUCCCCGUUUCCCCCUGGAUCAGCUGCGUCAGCGCCGCCUGGAAACGCGCCAAAGAGAAUUCCCAACUUUUCCCAACUUUUCCCUGUUUUUUUCCUAUUUUUUCCCAUUUUUUUCCCAUUUUUUCCCCAUUUUUUUCCCAUUUUUUCCCCAUUUUUUUCCUAUUUUUUUUCACAUUUUUUCCCAUUUUUUUCCCAUUUUUUUCCCAUUUUUUUUCCUAUUUUUUCCCAUUUUUAUCCCAAAUUUUUCCCCAUUUUUUCCCCUUUUCUCCCAUUUUUCCCCAUCUUUCCCCCAUUUUUCCCCAUUUUUUCCCAUUUUUUCCUCUUUUUUCCCAUUUUCCCCUUUUUUCCCCAAUUUUUUCCCAUUUUUUCCUAUUUUUGUCCCACUUUUAUCCCAUUUUUUCCCCAAUUUGCCCCCCUUUUUUCCUGUUUUUUCCUCUUUUCCCCAUUUUUCCCCCCAUUUUUCCCCCAUUUUUCCCCAUUUUUCCCCAAUUUUUCCCCAUUUUUCCCCCAUUUUUCCCCAAUUUUUUCUCAUUUUUCCCCAUUUUUUCCCAUUUUUCCCCGUUUCCCCCUGGAUCAGCCGCGUCAGCGCCGCCUGGAAACGCGCCAAAGAGAAUUCCCAACUUUUCCCAACUUUUCCCAGUUUUUUCCCAUUUUUUUCCUAUUUUUUCCCAUUUUUUUCCCAUUUUUUCCCCAUUUUUUUCCUAUUUUUUUCCUAUUUUUUCCUAUUUUUUUUCACAUUUUUUCCCAUUUUUUUCCCAUUUUUUUCCUAUUUUUUUCCCAUUUUUAUCCCAAAUUUUUCCCCAUUUUUUCCCCUUUUCUCCCAUUUUUCCCCCAUUUUUUUCUCAUUUUUUCCCAUUUUUCCCCCAUUUUUUCCCAUUUUUCCACAUUUUUCCACAUUUUUUCCCCUUUUUUCCCAUUUUCCCCCUUUUUCCCCCAAUUUUUUCCCCAUUUUUUCCCAUUUUUUUCCCGAUUUUUCCCAUUUUUCCCCUUUUCCCCCUGGAUCAGCUGCGUCAGCGCCGCCUGGAAACGCGCCAAAGAGAAUUCCCAACUUUCCCAAAUUUUCCCAAUUUUUCCCAUUUUUUUCCUAUUUUUUCCCAUUUUUUUCCCAUUUUUUCCCCAUUUUUUUCCCAUUUUUUCCCCAUUUUUUUCCUAUUUUUUCCUAUUUUUUUCACAUUUUUUCCCUUUUUUUCCCCAUUUUUUUCCCAUUUUUGCCCCAUUUUUGCCCCAUUUUUCCCUUUUUUCCCAUUUUUUCCCUUUUCCUAUUUUUUCCUAUUUUUUCCCAUUUUUUCCCAUUUUUAUCCCAAAUUUUUCCCCAUUUUUCCCCUUUUCUCUUAUUUUUCCCCCAUUUUUUCCCCAUUUUUCCACAUUUUUCCACAUUUUUCCCCUUUUUUCCCUUUUUCUCCCAUUUUCCCCCAUUUUUCCCCCAUUUUUUCCCAUUUUUAUCCCAUUUUUUCCCCAAUUUGCCCCUCUUUUUUCCUGUUUUUUCCUCUUUUUUCCCAUUUUUUCCCAUUUUUCCCCAUUUUCCCCCAAUUUUUUUCCCAAUUUUUCCCAUUUUUCCCAUUUUUUCUCAUUUUUUCCCAUUUUUCCCCGUUUCCCCCUGGAUCAGCUGCGUCAGUGCCGCCUGGAAACGCAGGAAAGAGAAUUCCCAACUUUUCCCAACUUUUCCCAACUUUUCCCAGUUUUUUCCCAUUUUUUUCCCAUUUUUUUCCUAUUUUUUCCUAUUCUUUUCCCAUUUUUAUCCCAAAUUUUUCCCCAUUUUUUCCCCCAUUUUUCCCCCAUUUUUUCCCGUUUUUUCCCAUUUUUCUCCCAUUUUUCCCAUUUUUCCCCAUUUUUUCCACAUUUUUCCCAUUUUUUCCCAUUUUUCCCCUUUAUGCCCCAAUUUUUUUCCCCAAUUUUUCCCCCAUUUUUCCCCCAUUUUUUCCACAUUUUUUCCUAUCUUUAUCCCAUUUUUUCCCCAAUUUGCCCCCCUUUUUUCCUGUUUUUUCCUCUUUUUCCCAUUUUUUCCCAUUUUUUUCCCAUUUUUUCCCCAUUUUUUCCCAUUUUUCCCAUUUUUUCCCAUUUUUCCCCGUUUUUCCCCCAUUUUUUUCCUAUUUUUUCCUAUUUUUUUUCACGUUUUUCCCCAUUUUUUUCCCAUUUUUCCCCAUUUUUCCACGUUUUUCCCCUUUUUUCCCAUUUUCCCCUUUUUUCCCAAUAUUUUUUCCCAUUUUUUCCCCAUUUUUCCCCAUUUUUUUCCCGUUUUUUCCCAUUUUUUUCCUAUUUUUUCCUAUUUUUAUUCCCAUUUUUUCCCAUUUUUUUCCUAUUUUUUUUCACAUUUUUUCCAAUUUUUUCCCAUUUUUUUUCACAUUUUUUCCCAUUUUUUUUCACAUUUUUUCCCAUUUUUUUCCUAUUUUUGUCCCAUUUUUGCCCCAUUUUUGUCCCAUAUUUUCCCCUUUUUUCCCAUUUUCCCCCUUUUUUUCCCAAUUUUUUCCCCAAUUUUUUCCCCAAUUUUCCCUUUUUUUUCCCAUUUUUUCCCAUUUUUAUCCCAUUUUUUCCCCAUUUUCCCCCAUUUUUAUCCCAUUUUUUCCCCAUUUUUCCCCAUUUUUCCCCGUUUUCCCCCAUUUUUUCCCCUUUUCUCCCAUUUUCCGGGAAUUCCAGGAUUUCCCACCUGGAUGAUGCCGGUGCCGAUUCGGAAGUUGCUGAAGGAUCUCAUCACGUCCUGGCUCAGCGUCUCCACCGCGCUUUUCCAGCUCCCGGAGAAUCCCCGGAUCAGCUGCGUCACCCUGGCUGCAAUUCCCAAAAAAAUUCCACCUUUGCCACCUUUUCCAACAUUUUCCCCAUUUUUUCCUAUUUUUCUCCCAUUUUUUUCCCAUUUUUUUCCUAUUUUUCUCCCAUUUUUUCACAUUUUUUCCCAAUUUUUUCCCAUUUUUCUCCCAUUUUUUUCCCAUUUUUCCCCCUUUUUUCCCAUUUUUUCCCCAUUUUUUCCCAUUUUUCUCCCAUUUUUUCCCCAUUUUUCUCCCAUUUUUUUCCCAUUUUAUUCCUAUUUUUCUCCCAUUUUUUCACAUUUUUUCCCAAUUUUUUCCAAUUUUUUCCCAUUUUUCCCCCUUUUUUCCCAUUUUUUCCCCAUUUUUUCCCAAUUUUUUCCAAUUUUUUUCCCAUUUUUUUCCAAUUUUUCUCCCAUUUUUUCACAUUUUUUCCCAAUUUUUUCCAAUUUUUUCCCAUUUUUUCCUCUUUUUCUCCCAUUUUUUUUUCCAUUUUUUUCCCAUUUUUCUCCCAUUUUUCCCCAUUUUUCUCCCUUUUUUUUCCCAUUUUUCCCCUUUUUUCUCAUUUUUUUCCCAUUUUUUCCUAUUUUUCUCCCAUUUUUCCCCCAUUUUUCUCCCAUUUUUUCCCCAUUUUUUUCCCAUUUUUUUCCAAUUUUUCCCCCUUUUUUCCCAUUUUUCCCCCUUUUUUCCCAAUUUUUUCCAAUUUUUUUCCCAUUUUUUUCCAUUUUUUUCCAAUUUUUCCCAAUUUUUUCCCAUUUUUUCCCCUUUUUCUCCCAUUUUUUUCCCAUUUUUUCCCAUUUUUUUCCCAUUUUUUCCCAUUUUUUCCCAAUUUUUUCCUAUUUUUUCCCCUUAUUUUCCCCAAUUUUUUUCCCCAUUUUUCCCCCCGUUUUUCCCAAUUUUUCCCACCCUUUUCCCCCAAUUUUUCCCUCAUUUUCCCCCCAUUUUUCCCCAAUUUUUUUCCCAUUUUCCCCCAAUUUUUCCCCAUUUUCCCCAAAUUUUUUCCCCAUUUUCCCCCCCAUUUUCCCCCAUUUUUUUCCCCAUUUUCCCCCCAUUUUUCCCCUAUUUUUCCCAAUUUUCCCCCAUUUUUCCCAAAUUUUUCCCCAUUUUUUCCCAAAUUUUCCCCCCAAUUUUCCCCAUUUUUCCCCCAUUUUUCCCCAUUUUUUCCCAUUUUCCGCCAUUUUUCCCCAUUUCCCCCCAUUUUUCCCCAAGUUUUCCCCAAAUUUUCCCAAUUUUUCCCCAUUUUUUCCCCAUUUUUCCCCAUUUUUCCCAAUUUUUCCCCAUUUUUUCCCCAUUUUUCCCGCAUUUUUCCCCCCAUUUUCCCCCAUUUUUCCCCAUUUUUUCCCCAAAUUUUCCCAAUUUUUUCCCAUUUCCCCCAUUUUUCCCCAUUUUUUCCCAAUUUCCCCCCCAUUUUUCCCAAUUUUCCCCCCAUUUUCCCCCUAUUUUUCUCCAUUUUCCCCCAUUUUUCCCAUUUUUUUUCCCAAUUUUCCCCCCAUUUUUCCCCAUUUUCCCCCCAUUUUUCCCCCAUUUUUCCCCAUUUUCCCCCAGAUUUUUUCCCCAUUUUUUCC